rnacentral:rRNA from 1 species
AUUGAACGCUGGCGGCAUGCCUUACACAUGCAAGUCGAACGGCAGCACGAAAAGGCUUGCUCUCUUGGUGGCGAGUGGCGAACGUGAGUGUAAUGCAGCGGACCGUACCGAGUAACUGGGGUUAACUGUCGGAAAGGAUAGCUAAUACCGCAUAUGCAUUGAGAAGGAAGGUUGAGGCUCUUCGGACCUCACGUUAUUCGAGCGGCCGAUGUCUGAUUAGCUAGUUGGUGGGGUAAAGGCCUACCAAGGCGACGAUCAGUAGCGGGUCUGAGAGGAUGAUCAGCCACACUGGAACUGAGACACGGCCCAGACUCCUACGGGAGGCAGCAGUGGGGAAUUUUGGACAAUGGGCGAAAGCCUGAUCGAGCCAUGCCGCGUGUCUGAAGAAGGCCUUCGGGUUGUAAAGGACUUUUGUUAGGGAAGAAAAGGAUAGUGUGAAUACCAUUAUGUGCUGACGGUACCUAAAGAAUAAGCACCGGCUAACUACGUG